rnacentral:ribozyme from 13 species
UUGAAAGACACCAAAGAUAAAACCACAACAAUAUCGACAAUAGGUUGGUCUCUUAAAAGUCGUCAACAGAAACUGGUGACGUGUAUCUUCUUUCUCUUCUUCUUCUUCUUUUUCUUCUUCUUCUUCACUACUGAUGAGAUUU